UUUAUUUUUUCCAAAAAUCAUUUCUAGGUACAUAAAUAUCUAUUUAAUCAGAGAAACACAAAAGGUUUUCCAAGAUUCAACCACUGGCAAGGAACCGUCAUGCCCGCUGGUUUGACCGCAUUUUGAAACGGGCAUAAACAAUUCAAAAAAAUCAAAAAAUUGGAAAACCUUCGCAUUGUGUCCUUAUAUGUGACCAAGUUUCCUGGAAAAAUAAUAAACUUGUAAUACGACAAUUCUUUUAAAAAGUGUUCUCAGAAAUGAGCUAUCAUGCGUGAAGAUUCAUGGCUUUCAAGCCAAAUGAUCAAUCUUAUGGCCAUAUUCAUGGCAUACUCUGUUCAAAUGAUCUCAUAUUGUGCACAAGGGUGCAUCUUGGAAUUCCAAACAAUGUUGCCUAAGGGAGUUUUCAUUUUCUUUGCACGGAAAAUUCAUUUUCCAUUUUUCGAGUGCCUGAAAUGAGUUUUUUUUGUGAAGGACCUACCAUAUAUUUGUUGCAAAAUUGGACCAAAUCAAUUUUAUAAAAUACUAGGCCAUAUUUCAUGCACAAUUGACAAAAUGGUUGGGUGUCAAAAGCUUUGAUCCAUCUCUGGUGAAGAAGACAAAUUUCCGCCGAUUCAGCAGGAAGCGAGUCAAAUUUGAACUAUAGUUACCUCAUAGUUUGCAAUUUAUUUUUUCCAAAAAUCAUUUCUAGGUACAUAAGUAUCUAUUUAAUCAGAGAAAUAUCAAAAAAAAUUCCAAGAUUAAACCACUAGCAAGGAACGGUCAUUCCCGCCGUUUUGACCGCAUUUUGAAACGGGCAUAAAAAAUUCAAAAAAAAAUCAAAUAAUUGGGAAACCUUCGCAUUGUGUCAUUAUAUGUGGCCAAGUUCCCAGGAAAAAUAACAAACUUGUAAUACGGCAAUUAUUUAAAAAAAAUGUUCUCAGAAACGAGCUAUCACGUGUGUAGAUCAAUGGCUUUCAAGCCAAAUGAUCAAUCUUAUGGCCACAUUCAUGGCAUAGUUUGUUCAAAUGAUCUCAUAUUGUGCACAAGGGUGCAUAUUGGAAUGGCAAACAAUGUUGCCUAAGGAAGUUUUCAUUUUCUUUGGACGAAAAAACCAUCUUCCAUUUUUCGAGUGCCCAAAAGGAGGGUUUUUUGUGAGGGACCUCCCAAAUAAUUGUUGCAAAAUUGGACCAAAUCAUUUUUCAAAAAUACUAGGCCAUAUUUAAUGCACAAUUGACCAAAUGGUUGGGUGUAAAAAGUUUUGAUCCACCUCUCGUGAAAAAGACAAAUUUCCACCGAUUCAGCUGGAAGCGGGUCAAAUUUGAACUGUAGCUUCCUUGUAGUUUGCUCUUUAUUUUUUUCAAAAAUCAUUUCUAGGUACAUAAGUAUCUAUUUAAUCAGAGAAACACCAAAAAAAUCCAAGAUUCAACCACUAGCUAGGCACGGUCAUUCCCGCCGUUUUGACCGCAUUUUGAAACGGGCAUAAAAAAUUCAAAAAAACAAAAAAAUUGGGAAACCUUCGCAUUGUGCCAUUAUAUGUGGCCAAGUUCC
rnacentral:lncRNA from 1 species